GACGAACGCUGGCGGCGUGCUUAACACAUGCAAGUCGAACGGAAAGGCCCUGCUUUUGUGGUGUGCUCGAGUGGCGAACGGGUGAGUAACACGUGAGUAACCUGCCCUUGACUUUGGGAUAACUUCAGGAAACUGGGGCUAAUACCGGAUAGGAGCUCCUGCUGCAUGGUGGGGGUUGGAAAGUUUCGGCGGUUGGGGAUGGACUCGCGGCUUAUCAGCUUGUUGGUGGGGUAGUGGCUUACCAAGGCUUUGACGGGUAGCCGGCCUGAGAGGGUGACCGGCCACAUUGGGACUGAGAGACGGACCAGACUCCUACGGGAGGCAGAAGUGGGGAAUAUUGCACAAUGGGCGGAAGCCUGAUGCAGCGACGCCGCGUGCGGGAUGACGGCCUUCGGGUUGUAAACCGCUUUCGCCUGUGACGAAGCGUGAGUGACGGUAAUGGGUAAAGAAGCACCGGCUAACUACGUG
rnacentral:rRNA from 1 species